rnacentral:rRNA from 1 species
AAUCAACGCUGGCGGCGUGCCUCAGACAUGCAAGUCGAACGAUUAAAGCUCUCUUCGGAGAGUGUAUAGAGUGGCGCACGGGUGAGUAACACGUAAGUAAUCUACCCUCGAGUGGGGAAUAACGUCCGGAAACGGACGCUAAUACCGCAUAAUGCAGCGGCACCGCAAGGUGACAGUUGUUAAAGAUUUAUCGCUUGAGGAGGAGCUUGCGGCAGAUUAGCUAGUUGGUAAGGUAAUGGCUUACCAAGGCUACGAUCUGUAACCGGUCUAAGAGGACGGUCGGUCACACUGACACUGAAUAACGGGUCAGACUCCUACGGGAGGCAGCAGUCGGGAAUUUGGGCAAUGGGCGAAAGCCUGACCCAGCAACGCCGCGUGAAGGAUGAAGUCUUUCGGGAUGUAAACUUACGUAAGAAUAAGGAAGAAAUAAAUAGAC